ensembl:lncRNA LINC02401 long intergenic non-protein coding RNA 2401
AGGUCUCUAACAGCGAAUCCAAGACUGGGAUUUUUUUAAAGCUCUCUUCCCUUCCCCACCUUGAGUGUACAAUGGAGAGUGCUAGUGUGGUGUCACAUGGUGCAACAUGGCUCAGUGUUGUGUGAAACUAAGAUUUGGGGCAUAUUUUAUAAUGAACAUAACAUAUGAGCAUAACAGUCGUGAUUAACGUAUACAAUUAAAGAUAUGUGGAAAUGACUCCAUCUCCGACCACACAUCCUCUGAGUAAUUUUGAUGGGGAUGGCUUAUGUUCUACUGCCACCUCGUGGUGGGCAUUCUGUGAACAUGCAUCUUGGAACAGUGGGGAGAACCAGUUUGGACUUCUGAGGAUCCAAAAGCCCAAGAAAAAAAUCUGAGUUCUCACGACAAAGUCACUUCCUGCUACAACACCUGGAAAAUGUCAUGACCCGAGCUAGUCUCACUUCAGAGUCCCUGGUUUCUAGUACGGUGCCUGACAGAUAGAUGACUUUCUUUAUAUGUUGCUGAAGACAGGCAGAGAGGAAGAAAGGAAGAGAGGAUAAAGGGAGGAAUAAACUUGAUAUAAGCAUCUUUGCAUAAUUAACAACUGGGUCAAAUUUUCUUCAUUUCAUUGAGAUUCUUGAUACAAGCCUCUGCUGAUGAAUUGGAUUCCAAAAAGAUAUUGUUGUCCAGGCCACACCAUACGGGACUUACCACUCCCAGUUGCUAACAUCUGCACGUAUUUGCCUGGAGGUCUCCUCUGGUCACCAGAUCCUACUCUGCCUGGGCCACAUGACAAGGUGAUGUGCUGAGGAACAAAAGCCCCCAGGAGUAUCCCUCAAGCAGUGUUGGACUGGAGUUGAGGUAUAUAUGCCCUAGCCUCCCAACCCUGGGCUGAGAUUCCCAAACAACUGGGUUCCCUGGCAGGACCCAGCCCCACAUACCCAAAACACUAAACUGCUUAAUGAUGGACACUUCCCAUCCUGUCUCCCCUUCCCCAUUUCCCUACCCGUGUUUCCUGGGACCACCUCCAAAACUAAGAAUUUCCCCAAGCUGUUCCUUGAAGAACCCAAACUAAGAUUGCUAAAGCACUAAGCUGGAAGUGACUCAAAACCAAAAAGCCUAACAUAAGCUUUUGUCUUCUUUAAGAAUUCAUUCUGAACUGUCUGCCAAUUUCAUUUUAACAUUAGAAAAUGAUUGAAAAUGUUAAAUUGGCCUUGCUUGACUUCAACAUUUGACACAGUUACUCCAAGGAUACAUACAUUGCGCUAUAGAAUUCCUCUAUUUUUUUGCUAUCCCUCCAUCAAGUGGUGAGUUCUGACUCCAAAAUAUGUUUUAGAUCAGUCCUCUACUCUCCAUUUCCACUGCCAGCCCCCUAGUCCAUCCCAUGCCAUCUCUUGCUAGACUGGUCAUCACUUGCUAGACUGUCACCAAAUCCUCCUGACUGGCCCAUCCCCGAUUCCACUCUUGACCCUUCCAAUCUAUUAUUUCAUAGCAACUAAGAAAAAUGUUUAAAAAUAUAAAUCAAUUGAUAUCACUUCCUUCAUUAAAACCUAGCUUCCCAUUGCACAUAGAAUGAAAUCCCAAGUCCUUCUUGUGGACUAAAAGACUUCUCCCACUUCUGUUUUAACUCACUGUACCCUUCACUCACGGUACUCCAGGAACCUUAAUGUCCUCUCUGUUCCCAGAAUGGAUCCAGCCUGUCCAGGCCUUUGUGCUUGCUCUUCCCUCUUCCUGAAUAUUCUGACCUGGCUCUGUGUGUGUCUACUUCCUCCUCAUCUCUCAGAUCUCCUUUGCAAAAGGGCUUCCCCAAUGAUUUAAUUUAAUAUCAUCUUUUCAUGUACCCCAAAUGUCAUUCUCUAGCACUGUAUUCUGUUUAUUUCCUUCAUAGAAUCUACAGUAAAUUCUAAUCGUUUCAGGUUUUUGUUUAUUUACUCAUUCAAAAACACAUAGACUCAGUCCCUAUUAUCCCUACGGUGGGCCAGGCCUAGACCCUUGACAGGUGCGGGAGGUACACAGUGAUCAAAAACAGACCCUACCUACAUUAGGGAGAGAAUUUAGUGAGAGAGACUGAUGUUAAACAAAUAAUAACAUAUGCAGUUUUAAAGCUGACACUGUAAGAAGUGUUAUAUACAGAGCCCUAUGAGAAGUCAAAUUAGAAAAUUUUGGCCUACUUAGGGAUGGCAUCCCCAAGGAAGUAAACAAUGAGCUGGGGCCUGUGUAGGCAAAGGUUAACUCAGCAAACCUGGGUUGUUCAAACCCUGCACAUUUUCAGGAAAAGCCUGUCUUCAGGAAUGACCCUGGGAAAAGAGCUCUGAGGCUUUGGAAUGCCCUGCCUGAUAAGAGUGUGUCUUUAUGCCCAAAGCCUUGGGCAACACGGUACCAGUUUGAUCACAUAGUUUAUGUUAACAGUGAGAUUUAUGGUGAAUGCCUGCUCUUGCUCUAGGAGGUUGAAGUCUGAGUAGCCAACAUCAAUCCUGCAGGUACUACAUGCCAAUGCAACUGGCCCCCAAUUAAAAAUUCUGGACACUCACUCAGGGGAGAUUCCUAGUUGGUAGCACUUUACUCAGGCAGUCACACACUAUUGCUGGAAGAAUGAAGUGUGCCCAUGUGACGCCACUGGAGGAGGACACCUGGAAACUUGGGCCUGUUUUUUCCUGGACUUUGCCCCAAGUGCUUUUUCCCCUUUCUGGUUUGAAUCUGUAUCCUUUCACUGUAAGAAAUUUCCACCUUGAGCAUGACAGCUUUUCUGAGUCCUGUGAGUUCUAGCAAAUCAUUAAGCCUAAGGAUGGUCUCAGGGACCCUGACACAGCACCAAAGAGAGUGUUUAAGGCAGAGAAAACAGCAGACUCAAAAACCCCGUGACAUCCCUGAGCAUCUCGACAUGAGAAGUGUAACAAAAGCUGGUUAGGUGGGAAUGGAAGAGAAAGCAGGUGUGUGACACUAGGUGUCCACAUUCUCUCUUCACUGGUGAAUGGACACCUGUGAUUGUUGUUCACUGUUGGCAUCACCACCACAUACCAUUAUGCUUGGCAUGUCAUUGAUGCCCAAGAGUAUCCAUUAAAUAAAUGAAUUAUAAAUAA